GAUGAACGCUGGCGGCGUGCCUAACACAUGCAAGUCGAACGGAAAGGCCCUGCUUUUGGGGGGUGCUCGAGUGGCGAACGGGGGAGUAACACGUGAGUAACCUGCCUUUGACUCUGGGAUAUCUUCAGGAAACUGGGGCUAAUACCGGAUAGGAGCUCCUGCUGCACGUGGGGGGUUGGAAAGUUUCGGCGGAUGGGGAUGGACUCGCGGCUUAUCAGCUUGUUGGUGGGGUAGUGGCUUACCAAGGCUUUGACGGGUAGCCGGCCUGAGAGGGUGACCGGCCACAUUGGGACUGAGAUACGGCCCAGACUCCUACGGGAGGCAGCAGUGGGGAAUAUUGCACAAUGGGCGGAAGCCUGAUGCAGCAACGCCGCGUGCGGGAUGACGGCCUUCGGGUUGUAAACCGCUUUCGCCUGUGACGAAGCGUGAGUGACGGUAAUGGGUAAAGAAGCACCGGCUAACUACGUG
rnacentral:rRNA from 1 species